rnacentral:lncRNA from 1 species
GCAGAUUGUCCUGAGCCCCAAGUGUCUGUGAUUCUCUUAGCUAAGUAAGGAAUCAGUGCCAGAGACAGAGGUUGCUGGAGCUGAGAGGAGACGUAGUCAAGAAGAUUGGAGAAGGCUCUGCGGAGAAGGUGAACUUGAGCUAAGACUUGAAGGGAGGGCAGGCUUGAAGGGAUGAAACAGCCUCCUCUGUGCUAAAGAGAGGAGUGACAGGGCCAUCAUCAGGCAAAGGGGACAUUACCAGGCAAAGGGACACCAUUGGUCAAAGGCGAUGGUGGAGACAAGACAUUCUGGAAGAGCCCGGAUCAGAGAGAUUUGGGGCCAGGAGCCGGCAUCAGGGGACCGGCUCCCUAAGGAACCAUGGCACCACUGGCUCUCAGCUGGAAAUAAGCAGCAGAUGAAGCACAUGCAUCCUGAGUUUUGGCUCUGGUGAUGGUGGUGGAGCUGUUAAUUCUUGGAGUCCAAAUUCCUGCACCACCUCUGAGUUCCGAGGGGGUGGGGAAGAGCAAGUGAUGGCUGGACAGCAAAGAGGAGUGGAGGCCGGGAGAAUGGGCAGCUAGCCCAGCGCUCUCCAAUAUCUGGGAGUCGACCGCACUCCUGCACUCCCUGUCAUCCCUGCUAAUGGUGAGGAACUGAGCAAAAGAGCCUCCAGAGUGACAGGUGACUUAAAGCGCACGUGGCUCUACAUUUACAAUUGAAGUGGGCUUUGGAGAUUGCAGAUUCUGAAUACCUGCUGGGGUGGUACAGAGGCUGUGUUCUGGUUUUGCCAUCUUGGACAGGGGGUUGGGAGUCUGGGGGGCUGCCUUCUCUCCUCUUCGUGCAGCUCUGCUGGGGCCUGUCUCACACUUGUGAGCAGAGUUAUGGCUGGAUUCCAGGGGAGACAGAGCUUGGUUGUGAAAUGUAAGGUUGUGAAAUGAAGGGCUUGUGAAAUGAACAAAGAAUGUAUUUAAGGGUCUUUCAUUUUAAAUCGAACACUUACAUAGCACUUACUACUUGCAAAGCUCCACUCUAAGCACUUUACCCAUCUUAAUUCAUUUAAUUCUCUUCUCAACCCUAAAAAGCAGGUAUUACCAUUGCUCCAAUCUUACAGAUGAGGAAACUCAGGCAUGGAGAGGUUGAGCGACUUGCCCAAAUUCAUGCAGUUAGGACCUGGCAGAGCUGCGCUUUGAACCCAGGCUGCCUGGCUCUAGAGUGUGUGCACGAAACUUCACUGCCAUAUGAACAAAACUGCAGGACAUAUGUUCUCAAAGCAAAUAAGCCUCCCAGAGAGGCUUUUCCUGAUGGCUUCAAGGACCUGCCCUAGCCUGGUCUGACUUCCCAGAGGGGAUCCAGUCCCAACAUUGGCCCUAUCUUUAGACCACAUUUCCAUCCCAUUCUCAGUGAAAACCCUGAGUCAUGACAGAAGACAACCAAUGCUGGAGAGAGGAGGUUUCAGGUAAUGCCUGUUUUAGGCAUCCUCUCCUUUAAGAAAAAUUUUUAUAUCAAGGCACCUCAACAUAAUAAUACCUUUAUUGCAUAUAGGUAGAAUAUAAAACUGACUUGUAAGACCACUCUGUGUGUGUGUGUG